rnacentral:rRNA from 1 species
AGAAUCAACGCUGGCGGCGUGCCUAACACAUGCAAGUCGAACGAGAAAGGGUAGCAAUACCUGAGUAAAGUGGCGCACGGGUGAGUAACACGUGACUAACCUACCCUGGAGUGGGGGAUAACUGAGGGAAACCUUAGCUAAUACCGCAUAAUACCUUCGGGUCAAAGGAGCAAUUCGCUUAAGGAGGGGUCGCGGCCGAUUAGUUAGUUGGCGGGGUAAUGGCCCACCAAGACUGUGAUCGGUAUCC